GACUUGCCUUGGUCAUGGUGUCUGUUCACAGCAGUAAAACCCUAACUAAAACAGUAACAUUAGCCAUCACAGUGAGAAAACAAGAAAGGUGAGGGACGCUGAGCUAAAAUUUGAAGGUUAGGAGAAAGGCACAAAGAAGUCGCCAGGAAGGAGAAUGUUCUGGAAGAGGGUUUCACAAGAACCAGGCAAUGAAGCAAGAGUUCUGGAAGCCUGCCAUUCUUUUCUAAGCCUAGAUCUGGGUUAGAAUUCUGAGUUUCCAUCAAUCUUGCCCAGAGAAUUUCAUAUCCCAAGAACUGUAGCCACUAUGUUUGGGGCCUGGUACCCUGACCAAUGCUAACUAGUGUGGAGAGAGAAUAUGUAGCUACCUUUUAGCAUCCAGCAUCAGUAGGCAGAGAGCGUUGGAGAGGCUGGGUCUGACACAGCAGCUUGAUGUUGGCUUGCAAACUUCCCUUCAUGACUUCCAAUUACCACUUUUCUUAUCUCUGGCUCUUAGCUAACAGAAGGAAGCCAACAGGAGGUCAAGCCAUUGUUUGACCUGGUUCUGCAGAAGGGAAGAGGGAGGUAAUGGAAUCUCAGCUGGCUCUGGCUUAUAGGAAGUGCCUUCUACUCCCUGGGUUCAUAGCCUGACUGUAAACGCCCUGAAGGCUGUGAUUAUCAGGCUGGCCAUAAAUGGGACACCCUGUGGCUUUGUUAGGGACUGUGGGGAGUUUGGGUACAACUUUUUUUUUCUUUAAAGCCACCUAUAAAAAUAUUUGGGGGAUUCUGUGGUGCUGGCUCAGCAUUCCUCAUCUCAAGGCUACAUUUUCCUUUCCCUGAACAUAUGUGUGGUGGCAUUUCUACCUCAUUGGCCACAGACAGUGUCUUGGUAGCACAGACUGGUGGGCUCAUGUUCAGCAGGACACAAGCCGGAUGGUGUCCAUCUCUGAACAAGUGGCCUCUUUCUCACACAGGCUGAGUUCCCCACUUGCAGGGGAGCUGGGGCUGGGGAAUGUUGGUUCCUGGAAGCUCACAGGGAGUCCUCUAAGGCGGUGGGAUCUGUUUAUUUAACUUCAUUUUUAAAAUAUUUUCAUAGAAAUGAGGAUACUGCUCAUAUUCAGAGGCUCACUAGUUUCUCCCAGGUCAAUAGAGGUCAGUAGGACAGCAGUGGGUAGGAACAGACCAUUGGCUCUGCCCCCUUAGACUAGGACUUGAGAGUCAACUUACAUUGCAGGUAGACGCAAUCUGGACAGCAGCUACCCUCAGGCUUGGGAUGGAAUCAGAAAUAUUUCUUAAUGGGAAUAAGAAAAGGAAACAUUUCACAUCUGCUAUUUAGAUUGAGCAUGGUUGUGGCUCUGGUUGGCUCUAAUUUGAAUGUUGUCACAAAGCUCACAGGUCAGCUUAAGGAAUUGGGCCUUCAGCAAGCAGAGCCAGUACUUUCUCCCAGGACAUCACUAGAACCUGGCCUAUGGUUGGGAGCAAUUCAUCACACGAUUCCAUAUGAUGUGCACAUGGACUCCAGAGCUCCUGGUCUGACAGCUUUCAGGAACAUAUGACUACUGCUAACCUAACUGGGUCAUCGUGUUGUCCAUGAGACAGGCCCACCUGUCACGAUGCCUCCUAAUCGUUGUUUUGACUUUUUGUCUAAGAUCAAUGCACAAAUGUGUAAUAGUGGACUGUAUUGGGCAAGGUGCUGCCUGCUGAUGUAAUCCUACAGUUUGCAUUUUCGCUGUCUGCUUAUCAAGGUGCCUCACCAUCUGUGGUUGCCUUUGACUUUUGAACCUGCUGAACAGAGAGCCAUUGUACUUGUGAUCAGCUCUGAGGAAUGAAGAGCAUAAGGCUGAGAAGAUGUGUAUACAGACCACGAGUCAGAGCUACGACUGCAAGUCCAACAACGCUAUUUCCCUCAACCCUGCUGUCUGCCUGGAGAUGACCAGCAACAGUUAAAUAAAAUUGAGUCUCAGAGAUUAUAAAGGACAUCCCCAGGAUAAUACAAUCAGCAGCAGGCAGAGUUUGGACAUACAGGUACCAUGGAAAUAUUUCUUCUCAACUGAAGCAUUUUCACUGUAAAACUGUGAAGCAAAGGAUCAAACUCAGGAAGUGAAUGAAACCCACAAGUUCCAGGAAGUUCCUGAAAUUGCAACAUCCCCAAGGUCCUUCCCUUAGCUAAUACGUUUAGUAAUAAUUCCUGGGAGGAAAGAGCUCCCCACCAGCUGAGCUUCAUAAAGUCAAGCAGGGAACUCGAGGGAUGCAAGCUUCAUGGGAUGCUGGUAACGCAGCUGCCUCUGAUUCAUGCUUACUCUUGACCAGAGGAUGCUAUGUAAGGCACUGGGGAAGAAAACUCAUCAAUGAUCUUACAGCAUCGGAUGCUGCAUGCCACAGUGGUGGCCUUCUAGAGACUCACCUAGGACCCAACCAUCAUUGAUGGUCUACCACAAAUGCACGAGUGUAAGGCAAUGUCAAAUAUGUGGCAGUCAUUUUUCCAAAUAAGGAAUACUUCUCCUCACCAGAAAGUUCAAGAAUAUACCUAAAACUGGGAUGAUGGCUUUUGAGGUAAUUACCCACAGCCUGCUACUGGCUCGGCACACUGAAUUAGAGUUCUGCAGAGAAAUGGAACCAACAUAUAAAGAGAUUUAUAAGAUGAAUGGUGUCAUCUCAUCCAUCCCCAUCUUUUACUCCUCUGCAACGUACCUUGUGAUCCGGCCAUGUUGCUCUGUGAAAUCUUGUUCCUUACAUGAGACAUCCUGAUAGGAUUUUCUCAAAUCACAUCAUAUCCUUUUCUUUAUUGACUUUCCCCAUCAGUACACACGAAAAUUGCUUCCAAAUGUACAAGCAACCUGGGGAGAGUCAUUUCUUUUGUCUUUGUAUCCAUGAAUGCCAAAUUUCUUUAUUGUAUACACACACAUGAUUGAUGAUUAAAA